AUCUGCUUGUCCUUCACUUCCCUGCUGAAUCCGAGAGGUACUGUAUGCCACAAGAAGAGAUCAAGUCCUUUCAGGCUGGGAUUCAUGCAGCUCGCAGGACUGGUCCUACACAGGUUCACACUGAAAUGCUGGGCCUCUGACACGCACCGGGGUGAUGAGUUAAACUUUGUUAUCAUACAACUGAAUACUAAGAGAAAGAUUCUUGAUUCAUUUACAAUUUCACAUGGCUUUUACUUUCUUAAUAUUAACCAUGAAUCCAAAAAAUUACAAAUCAUUUGUAAUUUAAUUAAGGAAGCUGUCUGCUUGUGUGAUAAUGCAGUAAUCUGUAAUAAUCUGCUGAGAAAUAUCUGAAAUUCCAUGGGAGAUGGAAAUUGUAAUUCUAUGGAUUCUG
rnacentral:lncRNA from 1 species